rnacentral:rRNA from 1 species
GGACUACCAGGGUAUCUAAUCCUGUUUGCUCCCCACGCUUUCGCACAUGAGCGUCAGUAUUGGUCCAGGAGGCCGCUUUCGCCACUGAUGUUCCUUCCGAUAUCUACGCAUUUCACCGCUACACCGGAAAUUCCGCCUCCCUCUCCCAUACUCAAGCUAUGCAGUCUCGAAUGCAGUUCCCAGGUUAAGCCCGGGGAUUUCACAUCCGACUUACAAAGCCGCCUACGCGCGCUUUACGCCCAGUAAUUCCGAUUAACGCUCGCACCCUCUGUAUUACCGCGGCUGCUGGCAC